AGGUCGGGUUGAGGGAAAUUUUGAAUCAUGCCGUUUUACCUCUCCCAAGCCUCGUACAAGCAUUCACCAUCAUGUGCUGGAAGUUUGCAACGUUUUUCUUCAACUU